rnacentral:lncRNA from 1 species
UUUUUUCCAAGUUUGGAUACAAAUGGUAACUGCUGCAGUUGCAGCUAAAGACAGUGAUGACAGACCAAGGGGCAUGUAGGCCAAAUGUGACUACAGCACUAUAAAUACUGAUGGUUUUUAGUUUUAUGCACUCUUCUGAGAGUUUCUUAGGUUCUGAAGUAUGUUAUGGUGUUACAGAAUCACAGAACGGUUGAGGUUGGAAGGGACCUCUGGAGGUGAUCCUUCCCCUGGCUCAAGCUAGGCCACCUACAGCCAGUUGCCCAAGACCACAUCCAGACAGCCUUUGAGUAUGUCCAAGGAUGGAGACUUCACAACCUCCCUGCACAAUCUGCUCUAGUGCUUGGUCACCCUCACAGUAAGAAAGUGUUUCUUGAAGAUCAGAUGGAGCCUCCUGCAUUCCAGUUUGUGCCUGUCGCUUCUGGUCUUGUCACUGGGCACCACUAGAAAGAGCCCGGCUCCCUCCUCCUUGCACCAUCCCUUCAGGUGUUUAUACACACUGAGGAGAUUCCCCUGAGCCUUCUCUUCUACAGGCUGAACAGUCCCAGCUCCCUCAGCCUCUCCUGGGAUGAGAUAAGGUCUAGUAUCUUAAUUAGUCAUCUUUCUGGCUCUUCAUUAGACUCUCUCCAGCAUGCCCGUGUCUCUCUCAUACUGGAGAGCCCAGAACUGGCUACAGGACUGCAGGUGUAGUCUCACCAGUGCUGAGGACAGUGGAAGGAUCACCUCCCUUGACCUGGCAAUAUUUUGUCUAAUUUGCUGACUUUGUGCCACUGAUCACCACCCUCUGGGUAUGGCCAUUCGACCUGUUCUCAAUCUAACUCUCCUUAUGCUGAGAUGUAAGAUACAGGGUUCUGAAAGGCAAUGAACAGUUGCAACCUGAUGCACUACAAAAAUGAAUUUUUUUGCUUGUAUUAUUUUAUCAAAUCUCAAUGCUAACAGAGUCAAUGAGUUAUACUGCAACAUAUGUGACACUAGUUACCUUUCUUUAGUUAACAAACUGCCCUUAUAGCAAUAAUAAGAAACCCAGUAAGAUGGCUACUCUUCCCUACUGUCCUACCCACUCCAAA